AUGUCAUCGGCCGCUGGCGGGUACGGGGGCGGCGCCGAGCACCAGCAUCAGCAUCAGCAUCAGCAGCACCACCAGCACCAGCUGCUGCUGGGCCAGGCCGCGGCGGGCCAGCUCUACCACGUGCCGCAGCACAGCCGCCGCGAGAAGCUGCGGUUCCCGCCGGACCCGGCGGACUCCUCCUCGCCCACGCCGGGCGCCUGGCCGCCGCCCACGGUGCCCUUCUACUCCUACGCGUCCUCCUCCUCCUCCUACUCGCCGCACAGCCCCACGCUGGCGCACGCCCACAACCAGCUCCUGGUCCACGGGAUGCCGGCAGGAGCCCAGAUCCCGAGCCAGAACUUCGCGCUCUCGCUGUCCUCGUCCUCCUCGAACCCUCCGCCUCAGCAGCGGAGGCACCUCGCCGGUGCCACCGGGCCGUACGGGCCCUUCACGGGCUACGCAGCCGUGCUCGGGCGCUCUAGGUUCCUGGGCCCCGCGCAGAAGCUGCUGGAGGAGAUCUGCGACGUCGGCGGCCGGCCCUCGCAGCUGGACCGCUGCUCCGACGACGGGUUGCUCGACUUGGAUGCCAUGGACGCCGCGGGCGACGUCGGCCACGAGAUGGACAGCAGCGACCGCGCUGCCGCUGAGGGCGUCACGGUCUCCGGCGCCGAGCAACAGUGGAGGAAGACUAGGCUCAUCUCCCUCAUGGAAGAAGUUUGCAAGCGAUACAGGCAAUACUACCAGCAGCUCCAAGCUGUGAUCUCCUCGUUUGAAACCGUCGCCGGGCUGAGCAACGCCGCCCCCUUUGCCUCCAUCGCUCUCCGGACGAUGUCGAAGCAUUUCAAGUACCUAAAGAGCACCAUACAGAGCCAGCUGCGCAACACCAGCAAGGUGGCCGCCGGGAAAGACAGCCUCGGCAAGGAAGACAUGGCCAACUUCGGGCUCAUGGGCGGCAGCGCCGCCCUCAUGAGGGGAGGCAACGCGAACGCGUUCAGCCAGCCCCACAACAUUUGGCGGCCACAGAGGGGACUCCCAGAGCGCGCAGUGUCGGUUCUUCGCGCCUGGCUGUUCGAGCACUUCUUGCAUCCGUACCCAACUGAUAGCGACAAGCAAAUGUUGGCUAAACAAACAGGCUUAACGAGGAAUCAGGUCUCAAACUGGUUCAUCAACGCAAGGGUUAGACUCUGGAAGCCAAUGGUGGAAGAAAUCCACAACCUGGAGAUGCGGCAGGGGCAUAAGAGCUCGGCCGCCGACAAGAAUCAGCUCGGCGUGCAGCAGCAAACCCAGCAGCAUUCGCCGGACAGCAGCGGGAGGCCCUCCGAUCCUUCGAACUCACACCAAGGGCAAAGCAGCAGCAUGUCACAGAACCGCAGCGCCCACGCUGCACAUCGGCACAUCCAGAGCGAGCUCUCCCCGAUGACCCACGACAUGCCGGGACAGGUGAGCUUCGCGUACAACGGCAGCGGGAUGGCCGCGCACCACCAGCACCACCACGGCAUUGCACUGUCGCAUCCCCAUCAGCAGGUCGAAGGCGCGAGCGGCGCCGGGAGCAGCGGCGGCGUCUCCCUCACCCUCGGCCUCCACCAGAACAACCGGGCCUACAUCGCCGAGCCCCUCCCGGCGGCGCUCCCGCUCAACCUCGCGCACCGGUUCGGGCUGGAGGACGUCAGCGACGCCUACGCGAUGGCGGCCUCGUUCGGAGGCCAGGACCGGCACUUCACCAAGGAAAUGGGCGGCCAUCUGCUCCAUGACUUCGUUGGGUGA
rnacentral:rRNA from 1 species